GCGAGUAAGGCCUUGCCCUAACCGGCUCGGUCAGUCCCAUCAUAUACACCUUUUAUCUGUGAACCCGUUGUGCUGCGAGGUCGAAAGCUUAGGCGAUUAAACCGAGCGGUGCGGCAACCUAUAUACCCUUUAUCUAAAUGGAAACGGAAGUAAAUCAUAAAUUAAUA
rnacentral:misc_RNA from 1 species